GGGUUGUGAGGUUAAGCGACUAAGCGUACACGGUGGAUGCCCUGGCAGUCAGAGGCGAUGAAGGACGUGCUAAUCUGCGAUAAGCGUCGGUAAGGUGAUAUGAACCGUUAUAACCGGCGAUUUCCGAAUGGGGAAACCCAGUGUGAUUCGUCACACUAUCAUUAACUGAAUCCAUAGGUUAAUGAGGCGAACCGGGGGAACUGAAACAUCUAAGUACCCCGAGGAAAAGAAAUCAACCGAGAUUCCCCCAGUAGCGGCGAGCGAACGGGGAGCAGCCCAGAGCCUGAAUCAGUGUGUGUGUUAGUGGAAGCGUCUGGAAAGGCGCGCGAUACAGGGUGACAGCCCCGUACACAAAAAUGCACAUGCUGUGAGCUCGAUGAGUAGGGCGGGACACGUGGUAUCCUGUCUGAAUAUGGGGGGACCAUCCUCCAAGGCUAAAUACUCCUGACUGACCGAUAGUGAACCAGUACCGUGAGGGAAAGGCGAAAAGAACCCCGGCGAGGGGAGUGAAAAAGAACCUGAAACCGUGUACGUACAAGCAGUGGGAGCACGCUUAGGCGUGUGACUGCGUACCUUUUGUAUAAUGGGUCAGCGACUUAUAUUCUGUAGCAAGGUUAACCGAAUAGGGGAGCCGAAGGGAAACCGAGUCUUAACUGGGCGUUAAGUUGCAGGGUAUAGACCCGAAACCCGGUGAUCUAGCCAUGGGCAGGUUGAAGGUUGGGUAACACUAACUGGAGGACCGAACCGACUAAUGUUGAAAAAUUAGCGGAUGACUUGUGGCUGGGGGUGAAAGGCCAAUCAAACCGGGAGAUAGCUGGUUCUCCCCGAAAGCUAUUUAGGUAGCGCCUCGUGAACUCAUCUCCGGGGGUAGAGCACUGUUUCGGCAAGGGGGUCAUCCCGACUUACCAACCCGAUGCAAACUGCGAAUACCGGAGAAUGUUAUCACGGGAGAAACACGGCGGGUGCUAACGUCCGUCGUGAAGAGGGAAACAACCCAGACCGCCAGCUAAGGUCCCAAAGUCAUGGUUAAGUGGGAAACGAUGUGGGAAGGCCCAGACAGCCAGGAUGUUGGCUUAGAAGCAGCCAUCAUUUAAAGAAAGCGUAAUAGCUCACUGGUCGAGUCGGCCUGCGCGGAAGAUGUAACGGGGCUAAACCAUGCACCGAAGCUGCGGCAGCGACGCUUAUGCGUUGUUGGGUAGGGGAGCGUUCUGUAAGCCUGUGAAGGUGUGCUGUGAGGCAUGCUGGAGGUAUCAGAAGUGCGAAUGCUGACAUAAGUAACGAUAAAGCGGGUGAAAAGCCCGCUCGCCGGAAGACCAAGGGUUCCUGUCCAACGUUAAUCGGGGCAGGGUGAGUCGACCCCUAAGGCGAGGCCGAAAGGCGUAGUCGAUGGGAAACAGGUUAAUAUUCCUGUACUUGGUGUUACUGCGAAGGGGGGACGGAGAAGGCUAUGUUGGCCGGGCGACGGUUGUCCCGGUUUAAGCGUGUAGGCUGGUUUUCCAGGCAAAUCCGGAAAAUCAAGGCUGAGGCGUGAUGACGAGGCACUACGGUGCUGAAGCAACAAAUGCCCUGCUUCCAGGAAAAGCCUCUAAGCAUCAGGUAACAUCAAAUCGUACCCCAAACCGACACAGGUGGUCAGGUAGAGAAUACCAAGGCGCUUGAGAGAACUCGGGUGAAGGAACUAGGCAAAAUGGUGCCGUAACUUCGGGAGAAGGCACGCUGAUAUGUAGGUGAAGUCCCUCGCGGAUGGAGCUGAAAUCAGUCGAAGAUACCAGCUGGCUGCAACUGUUUAUUAAAAACACAGCACUGUGCAAACACGAAAGUGGACGUAUACGGUGUGACGCCUGCCCGGUGCCGGAAGGUUAAUUGAUGGGGUCAGCGCAAGCGAAGCUCUUGAUCGAAGCCCCGGUAAACGGCGGCCGUAACUAUAACGGUCCUAAGGUAGCGAAAUUCCUUGUCGGGUAAGUUCCGACCUGCACGAAUGGCGUAAUGAUGGCCAGGCUGUCUCCACCCGAGACUCAGUGAAAUUGAACUCGCUGUGAAGAUGCAGUGUACCCGCGGCAAGACGGAAAGACCCCGUGAACCUUUACUAUAGCUUGACACUGAACAUUGAGCCUUGAUGUGUAGGAUAGGUGGGAGGCUUAGAAGUGUGGACGCCAGUCUGCAUGGAGCCGACCUUGAAAUACCACCCUUUAAUGUUUGAUGUUCUAACGUUGACCCGUAAUCCGGGUUGCGGACAGUGUCUGGUGGGUAGUUUGACUGGGGCGGUCUCCUCCUAAAGAGUAACGGAGGAGCACGAAGGUUGGCUAAUCCUGGUCGGACAUCAGGAGGUUAGUGCAAUGGCAUAAGCCAGCUUGACUGCGAGCGUGACGGCGCGAGCAGGUGCGAAAGCAGGUCAUAGUGAUCCGGUGGUUCUGAAUGGAAGGGCCAUCGCUCAACGGAUAAAAGGUACUCCGGGGAUAACAGGCUGAUACCGCCCAAGAGUUCAUAUCGACGGCGGUGUUUGGCACCUCGAUGUCGGCUCAUCACAUCCUGGGGCUGAAGUAGGUCCCAAGGGUAUGGCUGUUCGCCAUUUAAAGUGGUACGCGAGCUGGGUUUAGAACGUCGUGAGACAGUUCGGUCCCUAUCUGCCGUGGGCGCUGGAGAACUGAGGGGGGCUGCUCCUAGUACGAGAGGACCGGAGUGGACGCAUCACUGGUGUUCGGGUUGUCAUGCCAAUGGCACUGCCCGGUAGCUAAAUGCGGAAGAGAUAAGUGCUGAAAGCAUCUAAGCACGAAACUUGCCCCGAGAUGAGUUCUCCCUGACUCCUUGAGAGUCCUGAAGGAACGUUGAAGACGACGACGUUGAUAGGCCGGGUGUGUAAGCGCAGCGAUGCGUUGAGCUAACCGGUACUAAUGAACCGUGAGGCUUAACCUUACAACGCCGAAGGUGUUU
rnacentral:rRNA from 1 species